GCCAGGCAGGGCAGGUGACCGUGCUCGUGGGGACGCUGGGGAGGAACACACCCGUCACGGCGAGGCUCCUGUCCAGUCACGGCCAGCUCAGAGCUGCUGGCCCCCAGAGAGGGGAACCACAGAUCCAGGGGCUCCCCAGGAGAGUCCGUCUGUGAGCCCAGGAGGACCCGUCCAGAGAAAAGGACCAGGCCAGUAACGGGCUCACACUGCAGUGUCCUCGGCCAGCGCAGGAGCUCCGUGACAGCUGGAGUGCCAAGGGACCCGAGGACCUGGCGCUCAGUGAGAGCCAGACACACAGGCCACAGGUGUGCCCCAGGGACAGCAGGGUCCAGAGACAACAUGCCAGGGGCUGGGGGGCCGGGGGCUGCCUGGGGGACACCAUGUUCUGGAACCAGGGCCAACAGGUGGGCUUCCUGGCACGGCGCCUGCCUCUCAAUGACAGGGACUGAGCCCUCCCUCCCACUGGCCAUGUCCUGUCUUCUGCCCUUGGUCAGGGCUCUCCGGGGGACGUGGGCAGCUGCACCCUUCCCUUCCCCACGUGAUGCCCGACAACUGUAACAGACACCCCCGACUCAAGAUGAGUGACGAGGCCAGUGCCCGGCACAGCUGAGCAGCCGGGGGCCACUGUGGCCGGGCGGCUCCAGGGCGACGCGGGCAGGGAGCCGCCCGGGCAGGGCCCUGGGGUGGGGACAACCGUGGUCUCUUUCAAAGAGUGGGAACCCGGUGAUCAGGGUAGCGGGAGCAGGGGGAGGGCUGGGCCUUGACUCCUGGUUCCUUGAGCCCACCUGGGAACACGGGCCGUGGACGACCAGAAGGCUCGGGGACACUGGCCCAGAGCCACACUGCCCUGGCCUCCCAGCACCCCAGAGCGUCUGACCGCUGGCCAGGCCCCAUGCCUGCUCUGUUCCUGUGUCUCUCAGAGGCCCACGUUCUGGAGGAUGGUGAGGGAUGGAAGGUUCUGCCCCCAGAACUGCCCAAGCCCAGACAGGGCCGCAGCACACCCUCUCAGUGCCCGGGUGAGAGCCGGGGGGCUCAGGGGAGACCCGGCGCCAGGCUCGGCAGGGAGGCUGUGUGCGCAGAGAUGCAGGGCGAGGACCACAGGCUGCCCACCCGCAAGGGCCACCUGGUCACUGCUCCAAGGCAGGCCUGGGGGCAGGCGAAGGGACUGAGGCCCCCGCAGGCCAAGGAGGACAAGACCAGGUCAGGGGAGAAUGGCCGUUUUGCAGCCAGAACACAGAAACAAAGCCCAGAUGUCCAAGUACAGACAGGGGCCCAGGGGUGCGGAUGCCUGGAGAGGUCACUUCCUGUGGGUCCUGGAUGGGAUGUGCUUUGACAGGACCUUCCUGUUUGCCUCCAUCCUCACGGCCGCGACAGGCCUGCUCUGUCACCCUGGUUCUGAGAUGGGCAAGCAGGCAAGGUGUUCCCUGAAUGAACGGACAAAUGUCCAGAGGGCUGGGCACAGCGACGCACACCUAUGUCCCCAGCAGCUCAGAGGCUGAGGAGGGAGGAUCACAAAUUCGAGUUCAGCCUCAGCAACUUAGUGAGGCCCUGCCUGUAAAUAACAUAUGAAAAGAUCUGGGGAUGUGGCUCUGGGCUCAACCAUCCACACAAGAAGAAAGGAAAGAGGGUGUGCAGAGGAUGGGCUCCCCAAUGGCCUCCCCCUGGUCCUACCCCCCCACUCCGGAGGUGAGCAAGGCCCUGCCUGUGGGGAGGGCUCCUAAGGACCCCAUCACUCCACCCAGCCUUAGCGGCUGCCUCGCAGGGCAGACUCUCGCCCACCCUGUGGGUGCCCAGCCUGUUUCCCCAGCCGCCCUCCUAGCCCAGCUGCCCUGGAGCGGGUGGUGCUGACCUGGACUUCUGGACAGGGCUCAGGAAUCCAGGUGGGGGCGUCCCGGGCCACCCCUUGCAGGCUGUGGAGGGGCUGAGUCUGAGGAGGAGCCAGCAGGGCCCACGCGCCAACCUUCGCGGCUCCGGGGCGGCCAGGCCUGGUCUCCACCGGCCCCCUCGCUCCACCUAGUGGCCGCCUGGGCCCCAGCCGCGGGCUGAGGGCGCUGUGCCGGCCAGGGCAGGGGCUUCCUCCUGCCCAGCCCUCCUGGUCUGAGACAAUGGCCUCUGCAGGCUCCUGCAGGGCACAAAGGGUCAGGCAUGCUGUCAAGGUCACAGGCAAGGUCACAGGCAGGAGCAGGAGAGUCCAUACAGACCUCCCCCCCUGACCCCAGAAACGGGGACAAGGGGACAAGCAGGGCGGUACUGUCCUGCUGGGGGUCCAAUGGCAGGCCUGCUCUGGGAGCAAGCCCACGAGGGCCAUAGCCAAGUUGGUGACCUUGGUGGUGACCUCCUGUGUGAAGUGUGAUGAGGGGUAGCCUUGGCUCCAGGGCACAGGACUGGUGGAGCCCACAGGGGCUGGCAUAGAGCAAGCACAAUGACGGCUGUCCCUCUGGGGGAGGCACUAGGGACGGAUGAGCGCCCCACCCACAGCCACACCCCAGCCCUUUUAUUUAUUAUUUAUUUGGUACCAGGGAUUGAACCCAGGGGCACUCAACCCCAGUCCUAUUCUGUAUUUAGAGACAGGGUCACUGAGUCGCUUAGCGCCUGGCCACUGCCGAGGCUGGCCUUGAACUUGCGAUCCCCCUGCCUCAGCCCCCCACCAGCCGCUGGGGUUACAGGCGUGUGCCACGGCGCCCGGUCCUUUUUAUUUUUUGAGACAGGGUCUCCCUAAAUUGCCCAGGCUGGCCUUGAACUUGCCAUCCUCCUGCCUCAGCCUCCUGAGUUGCGGGCAUGACUGUGUGGCCACUGUACCAUUUUGCCAGCAGAGAAAUGUUGUCACCAGGCUCCUCCAGCCUCCCCGUGACCCCCUGCAUUACCUGUUCUUCACCCCAUUACCCCACAGGCCCACUCUCGCCCCUGCCUACACUGCUGGCCCUGACUGACGCCAGCCUGACUGUCGCCUGGACCCCCACUGGGCCUCAAGUGGGAAGAGCUGGCCCCGGGCUGCCCCGCCGGCUGGUCCAUCCAAUGCCCGGAAGCCCAGGCCCAGGAAAGAGCAGCAGGAGUUUUCCAUCACUGGACACGAGGCUCAGGAAGCCACAGACACCCGCCCAGCCGCAGCCCCCAGGAGGUUCAGACUGCAGAGGCAGAGACCAGGCCAAAUUAAAAUUGGUCGUGGGGAACAGCUCGGCAGGGUGGAACAGACAUGGGGUCGCCGGGGAGCGCAGGGGCAUCGAAGCAUGCGAUUGCUCCGCACGGAGGAGAAUCUUAACCUGCAGCUGGAGCGUCCAGCUGGGGCUUCCAGGACCAGAGGUCCAGAGCUGCUGGCCGCCGCUGUUGAGGAGGACAUGGCCCCCACUGUGGGUCCAGUCACGGCGCCUUUCCUCCCUGAGUCAUGGGGCAGUGCCUGCCAGCCUGGACUUUACUGUCCUCAUUCACCCCCAGCAGGCCCUGCCAGGUGGACGGAAGGACCAGCCGGACUUCCACAAGUUGUAUCUCAGAAAGGGGCAGCCUUUGGGCCGUGCUGGAGGUGGGAGGCCAUGUUGAGCCCCAGGACGUGGGCUUCCAGGGCUGCUUCCGGCGCAGCCUGGGGGGCGGGGCGGGGGGCAACCAGGCAUGUGGCCAGGCCGCCUGCUCCCUGAAGGCCCUGCAACCCUGACCCGGCAGCCCCCCUCGGUGCCUGGGGUGGGGGUCAUGCCCCAGCUCGUCUUUCGGGACCCCUCUCUGGUGAGAGCCUCGACCCUGAGAUUAGGGGCUGGGUCAGGGGUCAAGCGCAUUGGCCACGGCCCCCUUCAGGAGAGGGGUGGGCCGUUCUCCCUGCCACCUCGGAUUUCCGGGACAAAGGCUCAGUGGAGGAACCCUGCAGAGGCUGGGCCAAGGGCCGGGAAGGCGGAGGCUGCUGGGGGCCAGCUCCUGCCCCCUCCCCGCCAGCUUCCUGCGCCCACCUGGCACCCUCCCGGGGAGAGGACUGCAGUGGCCCCCCAGGCUGCAAUCAGAGGCGCUGAGGCCAGGGCAGGCUGCCCAAGGGCGGCGGGGCCAGGAAGCCACUCUGCCCUGCCUGGGGAGUCCCACAGCCCAGCCUGGCCCCAGGAGAAGGGCCAGGUGGGCACAGGAGGCGGUGGCCGUGACGGCAGGCGGGCGGGGGCUGGCAGUGGACAAAGGCCAGCAGGCUGGGCCUGCGGGGGCGCGUUCCGCUCCUCCGCAUCUGUUCCACUUGAGUCCACCCUGGACAGGCCGGAAUAAUCCCUCCGGCGGCCACUGCUGGGCCGUGACGGCUUGAAGGGGCCCGUGGGCCUGGCUGGCAGCUGGGCGGGGGCAGGGUAUGCUCCACCCCCCACACCCCCCAGCCUCCUGCCUCCGUCCUGGGAACACACCAGUCUGUUCCUGAUGACCAGGAGGAACUGAGUCACUGAGAGGGACCUGGAGCACAGCUGUGCCUCGAGGUCCCGUGGCCAGCCACAAAGCCUGGUCCAGGCUGUCCUUCCCUGCACCUGCAGGGCCCUCUAGUGCCCGACUCGCCUGUGGGCCGUGGAGUCAGGGAACCACUCCUCCCCGCCCCUCAGUCCUUAGCCCCUGGGCGGCAGGUAGGACAGGUGCUGACCUGGGUCCAGGAAGGCCUCACCAGCACUGCCCAGGUCUGCAGGCCCCUGCCCCUUCAGCUGCCACCUCCCAGGAGCAGCCCCCAGCACCCAGGUGUGUGGGGGAGGGGCCUCUCCUCCCUCCCACACAGCAGGUGGCACGGCGUCCAGGACGGUCACAGCUGGAGAAAGGGCCCUGGGCGGGGCCAUGAGCAGACCCUAGAGCUAGGGUCAGGUGGAGCCUGGGCAGGAGGCCCCUCUGGGAGGUCUCUGGGGUCAGUGGGAGAUGCCAGGGCCAUUCUGGACUAAACUCCUCCUGGGCUCCCUGGCAUCCUCAGGAGGAAGCCGAGAUCCCUCAGGGCCACACUGCUGCUCCCACCCAGCCUCCUGUGGCCGCUGGCCAAUGUUCGAGGGGCAGGGUCCCCCGCAUGAUCCUCAUGGCCCUGGGGAAGGACCCCUGACCCAGCACCUGCCCUCAGGGUUUCCCAGUCCCUGGGCUGGGCUCUGUCCUCCACUUUGCAUCCUCAGCAUCUGGUCUGGCAGACAGUGGGUGCUCAAUAAAGGCACUUAGACAGCAUAAAGGAAUGGGCACCACUUCACAGGGCCUGGAAACGGGCAGAAGGUGUACCUGGGCUGCAGUGACUCAAGUGGGGUCCGGGGCCUGAGACCAGAGCCUGGGCCCCCUCCCUGGGACCUGGGUUGGUCGGCACCUUGUCUGGCAGGGACCCCUGCCUCUGACCCCGAAUUUUACUGCCUCGAGACUGCCUUGGGAGGGUCCACCUUGGCUCUCAGUCGGGGGGACCACCCGCGGCCUUGGGAUAGGAGCUCCAGGUCCCUUCUGCGGGGGCUUUUCGGGCCUCAGUCUCCCCGGCUCUGAAGUGGGUGCUGGUUUUGCAGCAGGAAGCCCCUCUGGCCUGGGCUGGGGCCCCCCGCCCUCCGGGGCCGGCUCUGCUAAUCUCCCGCCUGCGCCUCGGUUUCCCUCUCAGCCGCCUAAUCCCCGAAUUGUCCGAGGCAGGUUUUACAUACAUUUACAGGCUUUUCAUGGGAGAUUUAGUGGGCCCCAGCACGGCCCUCACUGGUGAUUAACUGUCCGUAAUUGAAAAGCCCCUCCUGCCCCUCUCGCUUCUCUGUGGGCUCAGGGUGGACCAAGGGGCCCCAGGACCCCACCACUGUGGGCCCCCUGGUGCCCUCCCAUGUGCUCCAGUGGGGCCUCCCUGGCACUGAGGGUGUUGGGGCCUGCAGCACCUGGUGAGGGUGCCAGGACUCAGCCUGUCCCCUCCCUCCCCAAGUCCUCC
rnacentral:lncRNA from 1 species